rnacentral:rRNA from 1 species
CCUAGCGAUUGAAAAGUUAGUGGCGGACGGGUGAGUAACGCGUGGGUAACCUGCCUUCAGGAUGGGGACAACAGACGGAAACGACUGCUAAUACCGAAUAAGUUCCAAGAGCCGCAUGGCCCAUGGAAGAAAAGGUGGCCUCUACCUGUAAGCUAUCGCCUGAAGAGGGGUUUGCAUCUGAUUAGCUGGUUGGAGGGGUAACGGCCCACCAAGGCGACGAUCAGUAGCCGGUCUGAGAGGAUGAACGGCCACAUUGGGACUGAGACACGGCCCAAACUCC